CACCAGCGUUAAGGAGGAGGAGGAGGAGGAGGAGGUGGGGAAGGAGGAAGGAGAGGUUGUGUCAGGUGGUUAAGAAAGACCUCUAUGGAGAUCAUCUUCACCGGCUCGCUCCGUCUGCACCGGCCACUGCGGGCUUCCAGCCCAGCGACUCUCCACGACCGCUCACCCGGACGGACCGAGUAACGGAGCAGCCUGCUGGAAUAAAAGCGGCUUCCUCCAUUGAUGAACCCGUCUGCUCAGCGCUUCGACCCGGCCGCGUCUCGGUAAAAACGAGGAAUAGAAGACGGGUGUCGGCCGCGAUGGCUAAUGCCUCCCCAGACCUGGACAACGCGGAAGCCCAGCGCCAGCUCAACAACAACAACCGAGCCAACAGCUCAGGUUUCUGGGAGACGGAGUGCACCAGCUCCAAGCUGUUUGAGUGCUCGCGCAUCAAGGCCCUGGCAGGUGUGUGGCACCCCCACCCAUGGUUCUUCACCUCUCGGACCACUUUAACCUCUUCGUUCCCUGCAGAUGAACGAGACGCGGUGCAGAAGAAGACCUUCACCAAAUGGGUUAAUUCUCAUCUAGCCAGAGUUUCCUGUCGCAUAUCUGACCUCUACAACGACCUGAGAGAUGGAUACAUGCUCACCAGACUGCUGGAGGUUCUCAGUGGGGAGCUGCUGCCGAGGCCCACAAGAGGGCGAAUGCGGAUCCAUUGUCUGGAGAAUGUUGACAAGGCGCUGCAGUUCCUUAAAGAGCAGAGAGUUCACCUGGAGAACGUCGGGUCUCACGACAUCGUCGAUGGGAACCACCGACUCACGCUGGGCCUCAUCUGGACCAUCAUCCUACGCUUCCAGAUUCAGGUGAUAAAGAUAGAGACGGAGGACAACAGAGAAACCCGCUCUGCUAAGGAUGCGCUGCUGCUCUGGUGCCAGAUGAAGACAGCUGGGUAUUCUGAGGUCAACAUCCAGAACUUCACCACCUGUUGGAGGGACGGCCUGGCCUUCAAUGCUCUCAUCCACAGACAUAGACCCGACCUGAUCGAGUUCCACAAACUCACCCGGUCCAAUGCAACACACAACCUCCAGCAGGCCUUCAACAUCGCAGAGCAACAUCUGGGCCUCACCAAACUUCUGGACCCAGAAGAUGUGAACACGGAGAACCCAGAUGAGAAGUCCAUCAUCACAUACGUGGUCUCCUACUACCACUACUUCUCGAAGAUGAAGGCUCUUAUUGUGGAGGGCAAGAGGGUUGGCAAGGUGUUGGAGAAAUGUGUCGAGGCAGAGAAGAUUGUGAACCGCUACGAAGCUCUGGCCUCCGACCUGCUGGACUGGAUCGAGAAAACCAUCGCUGUGAUCAGCAAUCAGAAGUUUGCCAACUCACUGACAGGAGUCCAACAGCAGCUUCAAGCCUUCACAACCUACUGCACCGUCGAAAAGCCUGUCAAGUUCCAGGAAAAAGGAAAUCUUGAAGUUCUACUCUUCACCAUCCAAAGUAAACUCAGAGCCAACAACCAGAAGCCCUACGUGCCUCAUGAAGGGAAACUUAUCUCUGACAUCAACAAGGCAUGGGAGCGGCUGGAGAAGGCAGAGCAUGAGAGGGGUGUGGCUCUUCGGAAAGAGUUGAUUCGUCAGGAAAAACUGGAGGUGCUGGCUCAGCGGUUUGACCACAAAACGACAAUGAGACAAGCCUGGCUCAAUGAGAACCAGAGACUGGUGUCGCAGGACAACUUUGGCUACGACCUUCCUGCCGUGGAGGCAGCGAUGAAGAAACAUGAGGCGAUCGAGGCAGACAUUGCGUCAUACGAAGAGCGGAUCGGUGUGGUGGUGGAACUCUCUGCAGAGAUGGAAGUGGAGGGAUACUAUGACAUACGCCGUAUCUUGGCUCGUAAGGAGAACAUCCUGGGUCAGUGGGCACUUUUAAAGGAGCUUGUGGGAGGCAGGAGGGUCCGACUGGAGAAGAACCUGGCCCUGCAGAAGACCUUCCAGGACAUGGUCUACAUGAUAGACUGGAUGGAAGAGACACAGGUCCAGCUGCUGUCCAAAGACUUUGGGAAGCAUCUUCUGGAAGUGGAUGACCUGCUGCAGAAGCACAGUCUUCAGGAGGCUGAUAUCUCUGUUCAGGCCGAACGGGUCGAAACCCUGAACGCUGCUGCGCUCAAAUUCACUACCAUAGAAGGAUACCAACCAUGUGACCCUCAGGUCAUCUGUAACCGUGUCAACCAUGUGUCCUCGUGUCUGGAGGAGCUCAGACUCUUGGCCGCCAAGAGACGCAAUGAUCUCGAGGAGUCACGGGAGCUGUGGGCCUUUUUCCAGGAACUGGAGGAGUCUGAGGUGUGGAUCCGAGAGAAGAGCUCCAUCCUAGGGGCUCAGGGUUACGGGAAGGACCUGAGCAGCGUGCUGAAGUUACUGCAAAAACACAAGACUCUGGCUGGAGAGCUGCUGGCUCACCGCUCACUGCUGCAGAACACCAUCAAGCAAGGAAAGCAGAUCCUGAGUGAGAAGAGCUUCGGCACAGCCGGGAUCCAGGAGCGGAUCAUGGAUGUAAAAGAGGAGUGGAAGAGUCUGGAGGAGCAGGCAGCAGAGCGACUCGGCCAUCUACAGGAGGCGCUCAACUUCUUCCAGUUUUCCACUGAGACCGACGACUUGGUGGCUUGGAUGCAGGACGCGUACCGCCUGGUGUCCAGCGAAGACUUUGGCCACGACGAGUACUCGACCCAGUCACUGCUGAAGAAACACAGAGGGGUUAGUGAGGCUGUGGACAAGCAUCGGCUUCAUGUUGUGGCACUACGGAAACACAUGGUGGCGCUGCCUCUGCAAUACCGGGAGCAGGAUGAGGUGCAGGCUCGGAUGACGGAGGUGGAGCAGCUGUACACUGAGGUGGUUGAGGUGGCCGUUCUCCGGCAGCAGUGGCUGCACGACGCCCUGGCAGUCUAUCGCAUGUUCAGUGAAGUCAACGCCUGCGAGCUGUGGAUCGAUGAGAAAGAACAGUGGCUGAACAAGAUGGAAAUCCCUGAGAGAAUAGAGGACGUGGAGGUGGUGGCUCACAGGUUUGAGUCUCUGGACCAGGAGAUGAACAGCCUGAUGGGAAGAAUCCUGGAUGUCAACCAGAUCGUCCAGCAGCUCCUGGACGGGGGCCACCCCUCCUCUUCCGAGGUCCGGGGGUGUCAGGAUCACCUCAACUCCAGGUGGAACAGCAUUGUGGAGCUGGUGGAGCAGAAGAAAGACCUGCUGGACUCUAUGAUGCGGCUGCAGAACUACCUGCUCGAAUGUGCCGAGAUCAAGUCGCAGAUCCAGGACAAGAGAAAAGCCAUUGACACCACUCAGUACGUUGGGAGUGACCUGGGGGGAGUCAUGGCCCUGCAAAGACGUCUUUCCACCAUGGAGGGGGCGCUGUCAGUGCUGGAGCCCAAACUGUUGCACCUGCAGGAAGAAGCAGAGCAUCUGGCGUCGGUACAUCCGGGUCGGACCAUGGAGGUUCUGAUGCAGUUUGAUGGUAUCAGCGUGGAGUGGGAGGAGCUGAAGCGGACCCUGCAGGGCUGCGAGGACUCGUUGACGGUGGCCAGUAGGCUGCAGAGCUUCAUACAGGACCUGGACUCCUUCCUCACCUGGCUGGUCCAGACACAGUCCUCAGCUGCUUCAGAUCAGUUGCCCAAUGACCUGGAAGAAGCUGAGAAGCUCAUCAACAAACACGCAGCUCUCAAGGAGGAGAUCGGACGGUAUGAAGAAGACUACGAGCGGCUGCAGGCCAUGAACGAGCUGCUGGAGUCUGAGGAGGCUCCUCUUCCUCAGGCGGCGCUGCAGCAGUGGCUCCAAAAACUGGACGUCGGCUGGAACAAGCUGCUGGAGAUGUGGGAGAGUCGGAGGGAGGUUCUGGUCCAGGCCCACAUUUUCCACCUCUUCCUGAGAGAUGUGAAACAGGCUGAAUCCUUCAUCAACAACCAGGAGUCGGCCCUCGCUCACGUGGAGCUGCCCACCACGGUGGAAACCGUCGAGGCGGCCAUCAAGAAGCACAAGGACUUCACCACCACGAUGGAGCUGAACCUUCACAGAAUCAAGGCUGUGAUCGAGGCCGGGGAGAGUCUGAUCAGCCAAAACAACAUCUACUCUGAACGCAUCAGGGAGCGCAUCGACACGCUGGCCAGCAGGGGGAACCGAAACAGAGGAAUGGCUCAGCAGUGGCUGGAAAAGCUAAAUGACCAGUGGGAGCUGCAGAGGUUUCUGCAGGACUGUCAUGAGCUGGGCGACUGGGUGUGCGAGAAGAUGCUGAUGGCGAGGGACGGCAGCCGAGACGAGACCCAAAAGCUCCAUAAGAAAUGGCUGAAGCACCAGGCCUUUAUGGCUGAGCUGGCCCAGAACAAGGAAUGGCUGGACAAGAUAGAGACGGAGGGCCAGCAGCUGAUCCGGGAGAAGCCUGAGCUCAGCCCGGUGGUCCAGCAGAAGCUGGAGGAAAUCCGGGAAUGCUGGCAGGACCUCGAGAGCACCACUCAGGCCAAAGCCCGGCAGCUCUUCGAGGCCAACAAGGCUGACCUGCUGGUGCAGAGCUAUGACAGUCUGGACCAGAGACUGGGUCAGCUGGAGGGCCAGCUGGUAUAUGUGGACCACGGACAGGACCUCUCCAGUGUCAACCGCCAGCUGAAGAAACUGCAGACGAUGGAGUGUCAGAUGGAAGAGUGGUAUAAGGAGGUGGGGCAACUCCAGGUGCAGGCCGCCUCCAUCCCACAGCAGACUCAGGUCAAGGAUACAGUCGCUGAGCAGCAGGCAGCCAUCGAGGCCCGGAUGGUGCGUCUCAUCGAACCACUGAAGGAGAGACGGCGGCUGCUGCUGGCGUCCAAGGAGGUCCAUCAAGUGGGACGAGACCUGGAGGAUGAAAUUUUGUGGAUUCAAGAGCGCCUCCCAAUGGCCAUGUCGCAGGAGCACGGAUCCUCGCUGCAGGCCGUCCAGCAGCUCAUGAAGAAGAACCAGACACUCCAGCGGGAACUGCAGGGCCACCGGACCCGGAUCGAGGACGUCCUGGACCGAGCUGGGCUCAUCGCCUCCAUCCGCAGCCCGGAGGCUGACUGUGUGCGGGCGGGUCACGACCAGCUGGCCCAGCUGUGGAUGCUGCUGUGGGUGGAGACUGAGAGGAGGCAGCUGGUGCUGGACGCCAUGUACCAGGCCCAGCAGUACUACUUUGACACUGCCGAGGUGGAGGCCUGGCUGAGCGAGCAGGAGCUGCAUAUGAUGAACGAGGAGAAGGGCAAGGAUGAGCCGAGCACACUGCAGUUGCUGAAGAAACACUUGGUCCUUGAACAAGCCAUCGAGGACUACGCAGAAACCAUCGGCCUGCUGUCUCAACAGUGUCGGCAGCUGCUGGAGAUGGGACACCCAGACUGCGAUCAGAUCAGCAAGCGUCAGUCGCAGAUCGACCGUCUGUACGUGUCACUGAAGGACCUGGUGGAGGAGAGGAAGAGCCGUCUGGAGCAGCAGUACUGGCUGUAUCAGCUCAACCGGGAGGUGGACGAGCUGGAGCAGUGGAUCGCCCAGAGGGAGGUCGUGGCCAGCUCCCCUGAGCUGGGUCAGGACUACGAGCAUGUCACCGUUCUGCAGGAGAAGUUCACCGAGUUUGCCUCUGAGACUGGCAGCGUGGGCCAGGAAAGAGUGACAGCCAUCAAUCAGAUGGUGGACGAGCUGAUUGACUACGGUCACUCUGAGGCCGCCACCAUCGCCGAGUGGAAGGACGGCGUGAAUGAGGCCUGGGCCGACCUGCUGGAGCUGAUGGAGACUCGAGGUCAGAUGCUCGCUGCGUCUCACCAGCUGCACAAGUUCUUCUCCGACUGCAGAGAGGUUCUGUCGCAGAUUGAGGACAAACAUCGGAGGCUGCCUGAAGUUCAGCCACGUCAGGGCAGCGCGGCCAACACCAGCAGCCUGCAGAGACUCCUGCACAGCUUCGAGCAGGACAUCCAGCUGCUGGUCACUCAGGUGCGUCAGCUGCAGGAGAGCGCCGCCCAGCUCAGGACAGUGUAUGCUGGUGAGAAGGCGGAGGCCAUCGCCUGUCGGGAACACGAGGUGAUGCAGUGCUGGAAGGAGCUGCUGACGUCCUGCGAGGAGUGUCGGGUUCACAUCACCACAGAGACGGACAAGCUGAGAUUUUUCAACAUGGUCCGAGACCAGAUCAUGUGGAUGGAUUCCAUCAUUUGCCAGAUAGGGACAGGCGAGAAGCCAAGGGAUGUGUCGUCAGUGGAGGUGUUGAUGAACUAUCACCAGAGUCUGAAGAGUGAGGUGGAGGCUCGCAGUCGAGGUGUGGGCGAGUGCAUCGAGGUGGGAAAGACCCUGCUGGCUGCCCGCAACCCUGCUGCCGAGGAGAUCAGGGAGAAGCUGGACAAGGUCGUUGCUAAGCAACACGAACUGUCUGAGAAGUGGGACAGGCACUGGGAAGUUCUGCAGCAGUUGUUGGAGGUGCACCAGUUCGCUCAGGAGGCGGUGGUGGCCGAGGCCUGGCUGACCGCGCAGGAGCCGCUCAUCAACAGCAACGAGCUGGGCGAGAGUGUGGACGAGGUGGAGCAGCUGAUCCGCCGCCACGAGGCCUUCCGCAAGGCCGCCGCCACCUGGGAGGAGCGCUUCAGCUCACUGCGAAGACUCACCACAGUGGAGAAGCUGAGAGCAGAACAGAGCAAACUUCCUCCCACCCCUCUUCUGGGACGCAAAAUUUUCCUGGACCCCCAAGAUGCCUCUCCGAGUCCGUCCAGCCUCCCGAGACUCCCGCUGGCGCCAGUUACCCGACAGACCAUUUACGAACAGAACGAACCCAGCCCUCCGUCGCCCUCACCCGCCACUCCCACUCCCUCCCCGUCAUCGGUCGCUCGGCGGCUCGGCUCCACGGUCGCCAACUACACACCUGUGAUGAACGGCUCCAGCUACCGCCAUGCGCUGGAGCCGCGACACAGUGGCAUGGUGGGUGUCGCUGCCGGGCUCGGCAAGCCUGCGCCGUCGUCCAUUGCCUCCAUUGCUACGGCGGCCAUGUUGGUGUCUGCGAACCAGGCGCGGGAAAGCGCCAUCACGGCGAGAGAGCAGACAACGAAGGCGAUGAGUCACCUCCAGCCAGCUCAGACUAAAGAGCUGGAGGCCAAGGCUUCGCAGUAUCUACGGCAGCCCAAAAUCAAACACCUGGACGACGCGGUGACGCCGCUGCUGGUGGCCAGUCGGCUGGAGAAGGCGAGAGAGAGGGGGCGGGAGAGAGACCCCAUAUUGGGGGAGAUUGGUAAAGAGAAGGCUGAGGUUGCUGUGAUGGCCGAGGUCGUGCUGCACGAGCCGGGCCGCGAGAGGCUGCACAGCGACCCCACCAGAGGAGCGCGGGGGUCGAGGACCGACCCACUUGGUCACGCCGAGCCACAGGUCCAGACGCACCACAGGAUUGAGAGGCAGCUGUCCAGUGAGCAGCUGAUCCAGGCCCGAAGAGACGAGCUCCCUCAGGAGGUGUGGAGGGAACACGCUGAGAGGAGGGAGAGACGCACGCUGGAAAGGCAGACGUCCAGCGAGCAGGAGGGCCACGGGAGCCACGACAGCCGGCGCCGAGAGAGAGACCGGCACCGGCUAGAGAGACAAGAGUCCAGCGAGCAUGACACAGGGAGGGAACACUCGGACAGGCGCUCCGGAGGAGGAGAGAAGAGAUCCACGAUGGCUGAGAUCGUAGAGCAGCUUCAAGAGCGAGAGGCAGCUCAGGCUCGGGGCGAGGUCCCACGCAUGCCAAAUGGCCUCCCAGAGAAGUCUUCCCGUCUGGACAGGCCUCGAGCCAGGGACAGGCCGAAACCACGUCGCCGGCCGAGACCAAAGGAAGCCGGAGAGACCACUCGGCGGUCCAGGUCGGCACCGGCCCAAAGUAGCCCGGCUGUCCCGCAGCCACCGACACAUGCUGCACACCACGAGGGCUUCCUGUUCCGCAAACUGGACAUCGAGAGCAUGAAGAAGAGCACCAACAGGUGGGUGUUCGUGGUCUGAAGGCUGUGAUGGAUGGGGAUGAUGUCAUCGAGGUCAGGGAAGGAGCUCAGCGAAGUGUAGGAAGUGAGGAAUUAAAAUCAGCUGACUGGAGACAACUUCUUAAAACUAAAAAUCCGAUGGAGGCUAAAGCUCUGCAGACACGUUCUGGAGGGACAUAAAUGUUUCACAUUUGAGGUGUAUUCUCACCCAUCAUUGAACUAGCUUCCCUGUGGUUUUCUGAGAUGACAUCACUUCCUAUGUCCAGUUGCUGAGAUCAUAGCUGCGGCUCGUGACAAGCAUGACAGCAACACUGCUUUGUUGCAUGAUGCUAGCUGGUUAUCGAGAGCGCACAAAGCAAUAACACUGGAUUUUUGUCCCACAACUUCCUGUUUACAGACGUCAUCUUAUGAUACCGCUGGCUUUUUUCUCCAUAAAAAUAUAUUUAAAAGAGUCAAAACUGUUAAUUCAUUGUUUUUAAAACUUGUGUUUCAAUGUCAGUAUAAAUCCAGUACUUAUUAUUUACAAUAACAUGGAUAAUUUAAUCGUGUUGCAGCACCAUAUUCAUGCAAAAUUCUCAUUUUUUUUCAAACCCAAAUUUCAUUCAGUUCAUUGUUAGAAUACGUUCUUGACAAUGUACUACUAAAACAAAGAGAGUGUGUCUUUAAGUGACCUCACAGCCAGUUGAUGACAUCACUCAGACUUGCUCUCCUUGGUAGUUAAGAUUCAGUCUGUUAAAAGGACAUUAACUGUCAUAUAAGGAUAACGCAGUGUUUUCUAAUAGAUUGCGUUUUGUCUCUAGUAUGUUUUGUUCGUUCUGGGGUUUUUCAAAGAAAGAACCUUUUUGUGUGCUCAUAUUCACGUAUGUGGGAUGCCUUCAAUAAUGGCUUGGAGGAUACAAAGAUGCUGCUGCAGCCUCACUCAGACCAGUGUGUCAGUUGGGCAGAGGAGAACGAUGAAAUGUGGCGACACAAGCGAGCACAACCCUGCAGUUUCAACAUAUGUUUACCGGCUGCUAGCUCGAUCAACACAUGUGCAACCCUGACUAAUGGAAAUAAUUAGUUUCUUCAUCAUGGAUUAUGUUAUCCGAGGUGUGUCGGAUCAAGUCUUGACUUUUAUUUCAGGUAUGACCAGGCAUGCGAGGCGAUCACGCAUGAUGCUUAUUGUUGCUUUUGCACAGAUGACAAAAGCAGUACCCACCCACACACACACGUUUGUAUCUCUGUCCUUGUGGGGACCUCUCUUUGCCGUAAACCUUUCCCCAGCCUGUUCCUCUAAACCUAACCAUCCAAAAGACAGGGUUAACCUUAACCAGGACUCUGAACCAAACUGAAUCCCGGUUAUAAUGACCCAGUUAUUUUGAAGUCUUCAUCCUCAAGCUGAGGCUUGGACUUGUGGGGUCCAGCCAAAGGGCCCCACAAAUGCAAGACUUGGUCCCCACAAGUAAAUAUCUGUACAAGGGACCACACACACACAGACACACUCUAACUGGCUUUGCUUCCUCCAGAGUUACACCAGCAGCACAGUGACUUGCUGCACUGCCCUCUAGUUGCUGGGCUGACAUCUCACAGCUAACAGCUCAUCUCCCUCCAGCGGUGGAUGAGCGGGCUGCCGGACGAAUGUCUCACAUGUACAUGACCGCUUAUGUACAUGUCAAGGUAACGCACAACAUGGAAUGGCAUCAGGCAAACUGGGAGUAUCUUUAGGGCAACGCUGCUUGACUUAGCCAGGGCAAUGAAGGUGAUACAGAUCACGAAUCCACUCGACUCUCAAGUGUUUAUGUGCAGGUUAAUAGUGUACAUUGUACAACAUUGGUACAAGAGCUGAUCUUUGACGUGCUUUAUACCGAUGCAGAGGAUCAUGUCUGCUCCCCCCUCAGUUUGAUGCGUUAGAUUUUAGGGUCCAUCCAGCACCACACCUGACACCUCUUCCCUACAUCCACCAGAUGCUCAUUGGUAGCCCUUUUCUUCUUCACCUCCUCAUCUGUCCAUCACCCUGGGCGGUUGAUUUCAAAUUUGUUUUCCCUCCCUCAACUUCACUCAUCUUUCCUCUCAUUCACACACAUGACUUUGAUUCCUCUCCUCCUCCUCCGUACCCUCACUUCAGAUAUCUGUAUCAUCAGCAGACAUCAUUGUCCAGCCAGACUCCUCCCUAACCUCAUCUGUCAGUCACCUUACUACUGGUGCAUCCCUCCUGGGCGACGCAGUUCACUCGGCGCUUCGGAAGGUUUUCCAGGAAGGUCCAGCUGUGUAGACACCGCAACACUGGUGUUGAUCAGUGUGUGAAAUAGAGUGGAAGAAAAGUCCAGAAUGAAGGCGUUAGCUCUGCAACCUAGCAACCGAUGCUGAGUGAGUUAAAUGCAACCUUUGUGAGUGUGUAGCAUCAGGGUAUUAAUCUGCACACAAACAGCUCGCUCUGACUCAAACUGCGUUUGGGAUGUGCAUGUCAACACGCUCAUUAAUGCAGACUCAGCUAUUUUUUUUUCUUGUGGCUAGAAUUCUUUUGAACCAGACUGUUCUCCUCUCUUUCCCUGCUGCUGCUGGUCUCCUCCUCCUCACUAAGCAGGUCUUGGGUCAACCUGUACUGCGUGUUGAACAAAGGAGAGCUGGGCUUCUACAAGGACGCCAAGAACAUCACGGCUCCGUACAACAACGAGCCGCUGCUGAACCUGUCCCACUGCCACUGUGACAUCACCAACGGCUACAAGAAG